rnacentral:tRNA from 1 species
GGGGCUGUAGCUCAGUCGGGAGAGCGCCGCUUUCGCAAGGCGGAGGUCGGGGGUUCGAAUCCCCUCAGCUCCA